rnacentral:tRNA from 3 species
UGGGGGAUCGUCUAACGGUAGGACAGCGGCCUUUGAAGCCGUGAAUCUUGGUUCGAUUCCAAGUCCCCCAG